GACGAACACUGGCGGCGUGCUUAACACAUGCAAGUCGAACGGAAAGGCCCUGCUUUUGUGGGGUGCUCGAGUGGCGAACGGGUGAGUAACACGUGAGUAACCUGCCCUUGACUUUGGGAUAACUUCAGGAAACUGGGGCUAAUACCGGAUAGGAGCUCCUGCUGCAUGGUGGGGGUUGGAAAGUUUCGGCGGUUGGGGAUGGACUCGCGGCUUAUCAGCUUGUUGGUGGGGUAGUGGCUUACCAAGGCUUUGACGGGUAGCCGGCCUGAGAGGGUGACCGGCCACAUUGGGACUGAGAUACGGCCCAGACUCCUACGGGAGGCAGCAGUGGGGAAUAUUGCACAAUGGGCGGAAGCCUGAUGCAGCAACGCCGCGUGCGGGAUGACGGCCUUCGGGUUGUAAACCGCUUUCGCCUGUGACGAAGCGUGAGUGACGGUAAUGGGUAAAGAAGCACCGGCUAACUACGUG
rnacentral:rRNA from 1 species